rnacentral:rRNA from 1 species
AUUGAACGCUGGCGGCAGGCCUAACACAUGCAAGUCGAACGAGUGGCGGACGGGUGAGUAAUGUCUGUGAAACUGCCUGAUGGAGGGGGUUAACUACUGGAAACGGUUGCUAAUCCCGAAUACCAUCAGGUGUGGCCAUAUGGGCCUAGCUUGUUGGUGGGGUAACGGCUCACCAGGGCGACGAUCCCGUGCUGGUCUGAUAGGAUGAGCAGCCACACUGGAACUGAGGCACGGUCCAGACGCCUACGGGAGGCAGCAGUGGGGAAUAUUGCACAAUGGGCGAAAGCCUGAUGCAGCCAUGCCGCGUGUAUGAAGAAGGCCUUCGGGUUGUAAAGUACUUUCAGUGGGGAGGCGGUACCCGCAGAAGAAGCACCGGCUAACUCCGUGCCAGCAGCCGCGGUAAUAC